rnacentral:rRNA from 1 species
GACGAACCGUGCGAACGUUGUUCGGAAUCACUGGGCUUAAAGGGCGCGUAGGCGGGCUGUCAAGUCUGGGGUGAAAUCCCGCGGCUCAACCGUGGAACUGCCUCAGAUACUGACGGCCUCGAGGGAGGUAGGGGCGAGCGGAACUGUGAGUGGAGCGGUGAAAUGCGUUGAUAUUCACAGGAACUCCGGUGGCGAAGGCGGCUCGCUGGACCUUUUCUGACGCUGAGGCGCGAAAGCUAGGGGAGCAAACGGG